AAAAACUUCCAACAAUAAACCUCUAUAGUUUCCUGCUUGUAGUACUAGAGCAAUUUCUGCAUGUCUCAAAUAAUCAAA